rnacentral:rRNA from 1 species
UACGAAGGGGGCGAGCGUUGUUCGGAAUCACUGGGCGUAAAGGGCGCGUAGGCGGCCCUCUUUGUCGCGUGUGAAAGCCCCGGGCUCAACCUGGGAACGGCGCGCGGAACGGGGGGGCUGGAGUUCGGGAGAGGAGAGUGGAAUUCCCAGUGUAGAGGUGAAAUUCGUAGAUAUUGGGAAGAACACCGGUGGCGAAGGCGGCUCUCUGGACCGAGACUGACGCUGAGGCGCGAAAGCGUGGGGAGCAAACAGG